rnacentral:rRNA from 1 species
AUUGAACGCUGGCGGCAGGCUUAACACAUGCAAGUCGAGCGGGGUGAUGGUGCUUGCACUAUCACUUAGCGGCGGACGGGUGAGUAAUGCUUAGGAAUCUGCCUAUUAGUGGGGGACAACAUCUCGAAAGGGAUGCUAAUACCGCAUACGUCCUACGGGAGAAAGCAGGGGAUCACUUGUGACCUUGCGCUAAUAGAUGAGCCUAAGUCGGAUUAGCUAGUUGGUGGGGUAAAGGCCUACCAAGGCGACGAUCUGUAGCGGGUCUGAGAGGAUCAUCCGCCACACUGGGACGGAGACACGGCCCAGACUCCUACGGGAGGCAGCAGUGGGGAAUAUUGGACAAUGGGGGGAACCCUGAUCCAGCCAUGCCGCGUGUGUGAAGAAGGCCUUAUGGUUGUAAAGCACUUUAAGCGAGGAGGAGGCUCUUUUGGUUAAUACCCAAGAUGAGUGGACGUUACUCGCAGAAUAAGCACCGGCUAACUCUGUGCCAGCCGCCGCAGUAAUAC